AUUGAACGCUGGCGGCAUGCCUUACACAUGCAAGUCGAACGGUAACAGGUCUUCGGAUGCUGACGAGUGGCGAACGGGUGAGUAAUACAUCGGAACGUGCCCGAUCGUGGGGGAUAACGAGGCGAAAGCUUUGCUAAUACCGCAUACGAUCUACGGAUGAAAGCGGGGGAUCUUCGGACCUCGCGCGGACGGAGCGGCCGAUGGCAGGUUAGGUAGUUGGUGGGAUAAAAGCUUACCAAGCCGACGAUCUGUAGCUGGUCUGAGAGGAUGAUCAGCCACACUGGGACUGAGACACGGCCCAGACUCCUACGGGAGGCAGCAGUGGGGAAUUUUGGACAAUAGGCGAAAGCCUGAUCCAGCCAUGCCGCGUGCAGGAUGAAGGCCUUCGGGUUGUAAACUGCUUUUGUACGGAACGAAAAGCCUCUUUCUAAUAAAGAGGGGUCAUGACGGUACCGUAAGAAUAAGCACCGGCUAACUACGUG
rnacentral:rRNA from 1 species